rnacentral:rRNA from 1 species
CGGAGGGUGCAAGCGUUAUCCGGAUUCACUGGGUUUAAAGGGUGCGUAGGAGGGCAGGUAAGUCAGUGGUGAAAUCUCCAAGCUUAACUUGGAAACUGCCGUUGAUACUAUCUGUCUUGAAUAUUGUGGAGGUGAGCGGAAUAUGUCAUGUAGCGGUGAAAUGCUUAGAUAUGACAUAGAACACCAAUUGCGAAGGCAGCUCGCUACACAUAUAUUGACUCUGAGGCACGAAAGCGUGGGGAUCAAACAGGAUUAGAUACCCUGGUAGUCCACGCCCUAAACGAUGGAUACUCGACAUACGCGAUACACAGUGUGUGUCUGAGCGAAAGCAUUAAGUAUCCCACCUGGGAAGUACGACCGCAAGGUUG